CCUACGGGUGGCAGCAGUGAGGCAUAUUGGUCAAUGGGCGGAAGCCUGAACCAGCCAAGUCGCGUGAGGGAAUAAGGCCCUACGGGUCGUAAACCUCUUUUGCCGGGGAGCAAGGGCCGGGACGCGUCCCGGCCCGGAGAGUACCCGGAGAAAAAGCAUCGCCUAACUCCGUGCCAGCAGCCGCGGUAAUACGGAGGAUGCGAGCGUUAUCCGGAUUUAUUGGGUUUAGAGGGGGCGUAGGCGGGCUUUUAAGUCAGCGGUAAAAAUUCGGGGCUCAAACCCGUCCGGCCGUUGAAACUGGGGGCCUUGAGUGGGCGAGAAGAAGGCGGAAUUCGUGGUGUAGCGGUGAAAUGCUUAGAUAUCACGAAGAACUCCGAUUGCGAAGGCAGCCUACUAAACUGCCACUGACAUUGAUGCUCGAAAGUGUGGGUAUCAAACAGGAUUAGAUACCCGAGUAGUC
rnacentral:rRNA from 1 species